GGAGAGGUGUCCGAGUUGGUCGAAGGAGCAUGAUUGGAGAUCAUGUAUAGGGGAAACUCUAUCCUGGGUUCGAAUCCCAGCCUCUCCG
rnacentral:tRNA from 2 species